rnacentral:rRNA from 1 species
UACAGAGGGGGCAAGCGUUGUUCGGAAUUACUGGGCGUAAAGGGCUCGUAGGCGGCCAACUAAGUCAUACGUGAAAUCCCUCGGCUUAACCGGGGAACUGCGUCUGAUACUGGAUGGCUUGAGUUCGGGAGAGGGAUGCGGAAUUCCAGGUGUAGCGGUGAAAUGCGUAGAUAUCAGGAAGAACACCCGUGGCGAAGGCGGCUCUCUGGGACGGUACUGACGCUGAGACGCGAAAGCGUGGGGAGCGAACAGG